UACGAAGGGGGGCUAGCGUUGCUCGGAAUUACUGGGCGUAAAGCGCACGUAGGCGGCUCUUUAAGUCGGAGGUGAAAUCCUGGAGCUCAACUCCAGAACUGCCUUCGAUACUGAAGAGCUCGAGUCCGGGAGAGGUGAGUGGAACUGCGAGUGUAGAGGUGAAAUGCGUAGAUAUCGGAAGGAACACCAGUGGCGAAAGCGGCUUCCUGGUCCGACACCGACGUCAGGCACGAAAGCGUGGGGAGCAAACAGG
rnacentral:rRNA from 1 species